GACAUGUAGCGUUCCCAUGA
rnacentral:misc_RNA from 1 species